CCCGGACCAAAAUUUCGGGGUACAGUGACAUCCCAGAGUAACUUUCUGUGAGAGGUUAGACUCUGGUUAGAAUAUGUUAGCUCAAAACAAAGAAAAGAAAACGCGUGUAGUUUCUGUGUCUCUUGAUCUUGCAUCUCAGCGCAUCUGAAUCUGCAGAAUCUCAAUGGAUCGCAAUGGAUCAUUGGUAAAUAAAGCCGGCAUUGGAUGGAGACAGUAUCUUGUCGUGAAGCGAAAGAUCGAAGGACCGAGGCCCGAGAAAAUUUCAUUUCGGUAA